AGACGAGAUGAACCUGUGGCUGCGGUUGCUUGGUUGACUCUGCAGAUGAUGCAGUGCCUCCUUUAUGAAAGAUUUCUGAGGACUUCCCCACUUCUUCCUACUUGCGGGGAAGAUAAUAAGGAGAAAAGAUCAAGGAACCAGAAAGCUUCUAGAGGCAUGAGAUGUCGGAUUCCAAUAAAGCACUCAGAAGGA